rnacentral:lncRNA from 1 species
AGCAAGUCAAAUGAGGAGGCAAGACAACAAGGAGAACACUACCUUCGCAAAAGGAUGCAAAAUAUCUGAAAACUUUCCAACACAGCAAAAGUAA